GACCUCCAGAUACCUGACUCCUCAGAUCUAAAUAUUGAUCCAAGUGGCUAAAAAAGGAGGUAAAGUAAAACUGAAGUCCACUUGGGAGUCUCUGGUGACGUACCAGUUCAUUUCAAGCAUAU
rnacentral:snoRNA from 1 species